UUCAGGUCCUUCGUCUUCAAACGACUGAUCUCCGAAUAACUCUCCUGCAGCCCUGUUCCCCUGUCGCUCGUCGACGGUGGCGGCUGCAUAGAUCUGGUGCUUACCUGGUGGACGACGACUACUCCCUGGGCAGUUGCUCCCUGCCUCCUCCCCCUCCCACUCCGGCUUCCAGGUCUCUUGGCUCCAUCUACCGCGCAUCCCGACGACGCGCUGCACAUCCUCGUCAGGGACCGGCCGGGCUGCCGCCGCCGGUCUCCUCCACCCCGAUGACCACGGGCUCCCCACCCGCUCAGCUGCCCAUUUUUACCUUUCCGGAGCCAAGCUGGUAGUGGUCGAGUGGGCGGUGGUGCCUCCACGGUCGCCUCCUCCCCGCACUCCUAGAUCCAGCAGUAUCUCACCGUAGGCAACCUGGUGGUGCUCGAUCUGCUCGCCUUCUUCGCCUGGCAGGCUCAGCAUCAAGACGCGUCGCUGGAUGAAGCCAUGGGCAAUGGGACGAGGCAUCGGCGACACUGACUGCAGGAUUGACACCGUCUCUGCAGGUCCCUGAUGUGGGUGCACCGCAUUGCUUGGCGGUGCAUGGCUGGAGCUCCCGCCGACCAUCAGGUUGAGGUGGGGAGGAGCAGGUGGCAUGCAGACUGAAUCAGGCGGAGAGCGCGGGCACUCGAAGACGCGACUCCUGAAUGACGGCUUGACCACGGCGGUCGACAAUCUGAAAAUAUCACCGAACAUGAAGACUGAAGAGCAAGAAGCACUAUAACUGGAGGCAAAGGGAAUUUAUUUUUUCUUUCAUGUGCUAUCAAGAUAACAAACCUGAUGCAAGUUUUGGUAGCAAUGUUUAUUCAGCGGGCAUCAUU